GAGGGGCGCCGGGGGACGCCUCGCAGGGAGGGGUACGACUGCGGGGUGGGCAUGGUGUGGGAGGGACUUAGAGGGGGACGUGAAGGGACAACAUAAGAAGGGAGUGCGGGGGUACGGAGAAAGGGGGGUGGGCUGGGAGUGCUCCACCACGCUGGCCACGAAGGGGAGGGGAGGCCACGAAGGGGAGGCCGUUGGGAGGAACGGCCACACACAGGGAGGGGGAUCCUGGGGAUGGACAGUCCUCGAGGAAGGGGGGCCGUGUCUUCGGCAGGCUCAGGAGGGGAAGGGUGAGAAGACGCAGGGAAAGGGAGUGCUGCGAGAACCCGAGGGUGGAGGCGGAUGGGCGUGUGUGGAGCGCGGAGGGCAGGGAUUUAACGCUGCUGAUAGGGAUGACCAAAAGACCACGGUGGGGGACCCGCACAGACGGGACGGGGCUCCCAAGGCAGGACGAAAACUGCCCAGGGGAAAGUGGGACGUACGAGGGCAGGAGAAGGGUGGCGGGGGCGGCCUCGGGCUCGGCAGGAAGGCGCCACCACCGCCCUCUGCCCGUCCCCAGCGUGCCCCGCCCCGUCCGGGGGCCCUAAGGGCAGCGGCCUGGGCCGUGGCGGAGCCGAGCCAGGGCGGUACCAUUCGGAACAGAGAGGGGGGCUUGGGGGGGGAAAGGGAGGAGCCAGGGGUCAGAACCCUGUUGGGGGCGGGGGGGGGCGCCACACCCUGGGAAAAAGGCUUGGGCACAUCCAGAAUGGACCAAUCAGCGAACAAGGCCAGGGUGGCGUCAAGGGGCAGCUUUGGCCAAUGGGAAGGGAGAACACUUCGGAGGUUCGGAGGAAGAAAAGAAAAAAAAAGCCCCACGAAACAACAAUCGAAUCCGUUUGGGGGCUUGAAAGGCUGGGAGUGGGCGUCGUUUAUAGCACGUUCCAGCGCCUGCCGUCCCCUUUCAACGAUGGGGUCGCUUGCAUCACUCCCGGGCCGCGGGCCGUACACGGAGCUGAGGAGGGUCCCGGGAAAGUAGAUGAGGAUUGGCCGUUUACUGGGGGGCACUUGAUUGGGCGCUUCAAUUUGGGGGGUGGCUGGGACAGAGGUGGUAGCUUUGUGUGCAAAAGAGUGAACGUAGGGUUAUGGUCUCAUAAACGGAGGCAGGAGUGGGCACAGGUCCCUCAUGCCCCCACUGGCUACUUAAGCGUCAACCAGCAAGUGGAUCACAGAUAAUCUCAAACCAAUGGAUAACUUAAAAAUAUCCCCCUGGGCUCUAAACCCGAUCGACGUAUUCAUUUCCCUUCCCAGCCCCAGGCUGGCCCUUGAGGGGAUAAGCAAUGGAAGUGACGGCCCACAGCUACCCCUGGACAUUUCAUAGAAAUUUAUGGUGUGGCUUUUGGCUUCUAAGUUAGCUUAGGUUCCUACUGCCUACUCAGUCAUUAAUGUGAAACACCGGAUACUCUGCAUUCUUUCACACUAUAAAAUAAAGGCACUGGGAUUAGUUACCUUUGAGGUCUAAACAUUUUGCAACUGAUCUGGAGAGUUGUGUGCUUGGACGACAGGGUCGUGCCGGUUUGGGGGAGGAUUGUAAAACCGGUGGAGUUGCAGAACUAUUAGCCCAGGGAUUCCAAAUGUCUGUAAAGUUCCUCAAACUGUAUGUAAAAUGGUAUACAUGUGUGUGCAUUUUUCUGAGGUGAGUUCAUAACUCCCAUCAAAUUCUCGGAGGGGUCUGUAGACAUGCAAAAAUUCACCCCCAUCUUGCUCUAAAAGGGCAGGGGAGACCCACAUCCAAGCUGGGAGGUGUAGCACAGUAGUGGUUAUGUCCUUUUGGAAUCAGAGAAAGUUUCUCCAAUUCCUUGUUAGCAAUCUUGUUUGCAGGGACUCUUGCCAUGUAUGUAUUUGUCAACUAAAGACAGGCAGCCUCCUCAGACUUGAGAAGCCCAUGUGAAUUGCCAUAUAGCAGUUGCAGUGAGAGGUUGGUCUUAGGAAGUAAAGGAAUAGAGCUUUACUUCUGGAAGCUCAUCUACCUCAUCUGUAGGGUAAGGUAAAAACUCACCAUCUUAAGAAUGGCAAAAGUGCAAACUACUCUAGACGCAACCCCUGCAAGCCUGGAGGCUCUUUCAUGGAAAGAAACAAUAGUAGUAACUAAAGUUGAAGCCAGCUUCAGCACCACCCUAGGGCCAGUGCAGGACACAAUCCCAUCGGACGGUUUGUGCAUGCUGUAUUUAGGUUCAGAGGUUAAGAGUAUACAGUAUUUACUACCCCUGAGUCUUCCAAUUGGUUAUUUAUAGUGGAUUGUGUCUGAUAAUAUAUUUAAGAUCAUAGGCUAUGGUAACUUCUCUCCACUUUGUUUUAGGACUAACUAUAUAAUCCUUGGUGAGAAAAUGAGGCUUCCCUAACAAGUGUGGCUGGAAAAAUGCAAUGGGGAGCACCCAAAGGUGUCUUGUCUGACGUGUGACAACACAGAAUACACUCCAGUUAAAUAGAUAAAAAUGCAUUUAUUUCUAAAAUACAGCUCAACUACACUCACAGUGUGCUAAGCCAGUCUUGGAAUUGAUCCUGCAGCUUGGAGUAAAAUUGGGAUAAUGGAGGAGCAGUUGGGGCUCCUAGUUCUGGGCACCAAGACAUCAUUCCUCCAGGAACUCAAUCUAUAGAGUUUUUCUUCAGCUGUUUUUUGUGACGUACAGUGAGUUGUUUUGGAUUUCUCUGUACAACAGAGAGGUCCGACCUUGAGGAAGACCGGUAGCCCACAUCCUCUGCUUUUAUAGGCUUAAUGAUGUGCCCUGGCUUGGUGACAACUUUGGGCAUAGUCAGCUUUUGGAAGGCCCUCUGGGUGUUCCAUGUAGAUCCUAUAGGGGUCUGGAUGGUCCUUUCAAAUUGCUGAUGGUGGGUAAAUGGAUAUGGAAGCACCCGCACCUGGAAAGGAAGGCAGAGUGACUUGUCACAAGCCAGACCUGGGGUGCAGUUGGUAAACUCUAAUGGCAGGUAGUUUGGGGCACAGGCCACAGGUAUACAUGGCUUCAGUGAGUGAAGCAACUGAGAGGCCAAGGCAUCCCAAUGCGCCCAAUCUAACCUUAGAAGUCCCAAUCUGCUUGAGGACAUCUGGGAGUGGAGGGGACUAAUUGGGACUAGACAACCCCCAAGGCUUACCCAACGAUCUAGGAACUGAAAAACCACCCUGACCCCAUUCCUGUAGUGUAGGAACGCUACACUAGCUCCAGGGCUGCUGUUCCUAAGUGGGUCUUCUUAUACAAUGCUGUGACUGCAAGAAGCAUCUGGACAUUUGUGGGUCCCUGGGAAUGUUGUGGCCCUCCUACCCUCUUCAAGCUCUCAAUCUCUUCUCCUUGAUAAACAGGAUUUAUGUUUUAAGGUUUGCCAUGAAUCCUGAACUAUACCAGGCUGUGAUGCUCAGUUAGCUUCAUCCUCUUUUGGCAUCACAGAACGUCAGAGCUGGAAGGGCCUAGAUAAUGGCAAAGGUCAUCUUCCUUGGUCCCAGAAUUUGGCUUAGAGAGGGGAAGUGAUGUAUGCAAGUAAAUUGCAUAAAAUGAGCAGUGAAUGAGAACAGAACCCAGGGUUCCUUUCCUUGCCUAGUACUAUUCUCCAUUCCAAACAGUGCUACUUUAGACAUUUAAAUAAUCCUUAAACACUACCUCUGAGGGCUAGAGAAGAGGGAAAAAAACAUAAGGAGAAAAAUCAGGAAGUUACGAACAGUAGUCUCUGGAGAUAUUCAGUGAAACACUCAAGAGAAGCUGAGUACUGCCCGGGAGUCCUGAUGGUGGUGAAGGACACAGAUGGUCUCUAGGUUGAGGGAAUGUCUUAUUGGGGUAGAUGGCUAGAUCUGUGCAUGUCAUGUAAAUCAAGAGAAAAAAAAACACGGCAAAAUAUUCAGUCUUGGGAGGCUUUUCUUUUUUCCUUCAGCUUCAAGCACACUGUAUUCUAUUGCAUGCUGGGACCUGAAGUCUAUAGCUUAUUAAAAAGAUGAGGAAAAUCAGGGAGAUUCUUGGAAAACUGUCAGUUUCCUGUGACUGUAUUUUUUUUUUUUUUAAGGCAAGGCUCCUAGCAGGGAGGGGUGAUUUUACUGAGGUCCAUGCUGCCCUUCCUGGCCUGGUGAAGCAUGCUUUUUCUCUCUCAUUUAUCCCAUAAUUGCCUGUUCAUUGCCUAUUUUCUGGUUAUAGAUCUUCAAGUGGGAUUACAGUGGUUACGAUUCCAUUUCUGCAGGGAUUGGUUUGCAAAAUAAGAUCAGUAGAGUAUUGCUGAAACGAUAAUUUCUUACCUCUCUUUUGUACUUAUUAAACAGUUCCCCCUCUUUCUCAGAAGAAAAACUACAACUCAUUUCAAGAUUGUACUGGCUGGGGACAGAUCUCAGGGUCACAGACUUUCAGAAGGAAACAUAAAAGUCAUGGAGUUCAAUCUCAUUCCUGAGUCCCCUCUACACAUGUUCCCAUUCUCCCUCUGGACUGGCAGAAAGCUUUUUCCUUUUUUUUUUUUUUUUUAAAGUAGGCUCCUUGCCCAACAUGGGGCUCAAACUCACGACCCCGACAUCAAAACCUGCAUGCUCUACCGACUGAGCCAGCCAAGCGCCCCACAAAGUUUCUCCUUGAACUGAAUGCAUUGCUUUUCCUCUAACUGCUACCUUAUGUGACUGCACUCCACAUGAUGGCCUUCAACGUACUUGCAGACCAUGAUCAUGCUCAAAUUUGCUUCUCUUUGGUAAAUAUCCCUGGUUUGUCAUAACACACAAUUUUAAUUCCAUUCGCUGUCCUGAAUGAAUACCGGUUUGUCUUCUUUUUCUUAAGAUGCAGCUCAAACCUAUAGCCUCUCAACAUCAUCCUGACUAUAAAGACAAGUGUGAAGAACAGUAAUUCUUAGUUUGAUGAGACCCAAUUGCAUCAGAAUUAUCUGGGGUACUAGCUGAAAAAACUGAUUUGGGGGCCUCACCACUGCUGCAAAGAUUACCAUUUAAGCCUCAACCUCUUCCCAGUCAGAAAUUAAAACAGCAGAAAUCAAUCUGGAAUUAUUCAUCUCAGAGCCAGUCCGUGAAAAAGAGAACAGCUUUGAUUCUGUGGUCAAGAUCACACAUCGCUCUUUACCACAGAGUGCUAGAAUAUUCCUCCCAAGCAAGAGAGCGAGGCAGCAAAGAAUUUCUCUCUCCCUCACCUGAUGAGCUGCUGCAUGAACAUUUCGCUUCUCAUUGAUAAUCACAUUUGGCAAAUUCUUGUCUUUUCUUGGAGGACCCUCAGGGGUUUUAAUGAGAAACCUGGAAAGCAGAACAGUGGGAUGUCUGACUAAGAGCAUUAAAGACUUAGUCAAAAGGGCAGGGAGGACGCAGGAGGGUGAAGUGGGAGAACCUGGUGCACUUCUGACAGGCUUUCUUCCCUGUUCUUACCGGCGUCUUUUCUUGGCACUGGGCUUCAGGCCCACACCACCCCACUCGCCCCAGCCAGGCAGAGUCAGGUCCACGUCCUUUGGCUUACUCGCCUCCACAGCUUCCCUCUUCUCUUUUAAGAAGUCUCUGAUGACAUCAUCUCCAGCAAAAGCUUCCUUUAUCAUCCGCUUUUGAUCUCUCUCCUCUUCAUCUUCCUGGGAAGAAAUAAGAGUGAGAGCUACAGCUUGCCUGAAGAGCUAUGGUUCCUGGCAAGAACGUUUAAAUUUUGGGUCGUGACAUUCUAGCGCCCCCUAGGGGAAAAGCGCUGAACAAUGAUGGUCUUGCAGUAUAAGUGAAUUGGUUAGCCAAUCACACUUUGAUUUUCUUCUCUCUAGGGUAAAUCUCCCUAACUCAUUGUCAUAGACAUAAUUUUAAGCUUACAGUAAGGAAGCUGCAGCGUGGAGGAAGGAAUGACCUGCGUUAGGAGGAGGAGCUCCAAGUGGCCUGGCUAGAACGUGGGUGUCCUCCGGCUCACAUCCCCGAAAAGACGGGCACCAGGCACCAGGGCUCCUCACUGAAGCAGUUUCAAUUAGUUAACCAGGGAGUCUUGGACCAUUUCAGAUCCCAGUGAAUAAGAGCAAAACCUUGGCAAUAGCUCAACAACUAUACCUUUGAGUCAUCCUGCCUGGGAUCUGAGCAGAGCUUUGAGUGCCUCCCUCUUUCCUCUGAGGGCAGUUUUAGAGUCACCCCACGGAGGGUUUGGUGGCUCAGGAUUUAAGAUGUGGGAAUCUCAGCAGCACUCACAUAUUUGCAUCUAUUAAACUGUCACUGGGACUGGCCCGGCCCCAUAUUAUUUUGGACCUUUCCACUACUGAAAUGUGCCCCCAGCACAACACAACUUCACUGAUUCUAGUCCUUGUGCAAGGACACUUCCUGCCCCAGCGGUGAUCCCCCACAAUAGCCCAUGCCCCUGGCUCUGCUCACCAGCUCCUCUAUUGUCAUGGGCACUGCCAAAGACUUCACAGAAGGAGAUUUCGUGGUUAGGAGGUUCUGUAGAUCAAUCAUUUGCUCCUUCUUUUUCUUUUCCUUGGGAGCACCAGGAUGAUUAUUUGGGUUCCUCUCCAGCUGCUGCCCUUCUAACACAGACCUGGGAACCUCCUUAUUUUGAAAACACCGCUCUUUGCCCAGCUCUUCUAGAUCUUCCACAGUCUGUGCUCUCUCUGGCCUCUGCAGCAACAGGGGCUCCUCUUCUUCCUCAGUAGGGUCCUUUCUCUGGACUACCUGAACUGUCCUCGCUGAACUCACUUUCUGCUUCCCAGACUGGUUUUCCUUGUUGAGUUUCUGAGACAGUGCCCUCAAUUCGGACAGCACCUCCUGGCUGCUAGAAUCUGAGGGAAGAAAUGAAAGCUGUCAGAAAAGGAGGCUGGAAGUUGCCUUGUCAAUGAGCAUUUACUGAGCACACU
rnacentral:lncRNA from 1 species